rnacentral:rRNA from 1 species
UUCUUUAAUUGGGGACUGGAAUGAAAGGUAGAUUCUAAGAGGAAGGUUUUAUUUAAAAAUUUUGAAUUUAAUUUAAAAGUAAAAAAGCUUUUAUGAAACCUUGGGACGAGAAGACCCUAGAAGCUUUUAAAAAUAUAUUUUUUUGAUUGGGGCAAUCAAUUGAAGAUAUUAAUUUUUGAUUUAAUGGGAAAAAGUAAUUAAGUUACUCUAGGGAUAACAGCGUUAUUUAGUUGACAAGUUCUUAUUAAUAAUUAAGUUUGCGACCUCGAUGUUGAAUUAAAA